rnacentral:tRNA from 1 species
UCCCUGGUGGCUCAGAGGUUAAAGCAUCUGCCUGCAAUGCGGGAGACCUGGGUUCUAUCCCUGGGUCGGGAA